CAUUAAGCAGCUUGGCCUUUGAACAUGGAGAUGGCAACCUGGUCCCAAUGCAAGGUUGCUGCCCAUGUCCCUCCUCUCAGCAGAUGAGAUGGGUCUCCGGGAAAGCCACUGGAUGCCGGCAGGGACCUCGCGGCUCAGUGACCAUGGUGGUUUAUUGAGCACCUGUUUUCUGCCUCACAAGUGCCUCAGGAUAAUGGGGAUGGACGAGAAGCCACGGUUCCUGCCUUCAGGGACCCUGCAGAUCAGCCUGGCAGGUGAGGCUGGGUUUGAAAGAGUUGGCAACUGGCUCAAAGGUUAGCGUGGCUGGGGGAGGAGUGGGGCAGUGCAGGACAGCCCUGGACGCUCUCUGCUGCCCGUCUUCUCCCAUCUCCUGGGCAGCCAUCGAUGCCCUUGGCCUGCCCAAGUCUUCCUCUGCUCUCUGAAGGCCCACUCAGCCCUCAGUGCACACCCGUUGGUGACAGCUUCACCAUCUUGUGUCCCCAGGACCUGGCACAUGCCUAACAGAAGCUCAAGAAAGGUCUGUGGAAGGAAUAAAUGAGAAGAGUCAGGACUGGCAGGUUGCGGAGUAGAAGAUGGAAGUGAAGGGACCGGUCCCAUGUCUCUAAAGCUGUUAGGAGGCUGGAGACCAUCGUGGCUCUCAACAUCUAUUUUCUGAAAAAUCAAACGAAGCACAGGAAGCUCAAGAGCAGCCGUGAUUCGUUUCCACCCUGCCCUUCUUCUACGCGUGGGGGAUUUCUCUUUCAAGUUGUCACCUUCCUGCUCCAAAACUGGGCAGAGAGCAGGUCCUUGGGAAUGGUGUUGGACCAGGAUGCGCGUUCUUGAGACUAUUGCUGGGCAGGGAGGACACGGUGCUUUUUCUGCUGCAUUGAAGGAACAGGCUGGGCUUUCCCCGGCCUUUGUGUCUGCCGUGGACUCUGACAGGCCAUCUUGCACUUGGCAGUCUCUGGGAGGCUCGUCACCCAGCGGGGCCUGUUUGGGACCAGCAAUGGAACAGGGCCAAGGGGCAUUGCAUGAGGGGGACCAUUUUUCUCUUCUGCACAUAGAAUAUGGUCUUGUCCCCUCUCACGAUGCCCAGGACUGGCACAAUGCAGGGAGACCCCAGUGGCUUGAAAUCUCUGUUGGCUUGUCACUUCAUGACAAUAGAAGGGAUUUAUGAGCUGGCAAAACAAAAAUUGCCAUUGCUUAAAAUAACAUUUGACACACUUCACAUUGAGAGCACAGCGCCAUUGCUCCCAUGGUGACAACAUCCGUGGGGGGUGCCAGGUGUGCCGGUGGGGGCGCUGGCUGCCUGAGCCUGGGUCCCCCUCUCUGGCCAGCUGUUGUUCCUUGCUCUCUUGGUCCUGCAGAAUGUGGAUAUACACGUCCAAGUCUCCUGGGAAGGGAGGGUGUGGGGACAGGCCAGGGUAGGGAUGGGGCAAGCACCUGGGUGACCACAGCUGGCGGGGUGUGUGGCUUGUGGUCAAAGUUACACACCAGCCUACUGAACAGAGGAAUGGAAACCCUGCACCCUCCACCAGCAGCCUUCGUUUUAGAGUGUCGUCUUCUAGCAUGCAGUGCUGGGUUUUGUACCCUGUUUUCCUUCCCCACUGCACACGUUCCUUGGAUUUUUGAUGGGGUCAUGUCCCCAUAAACCCAGGGCGAGGUGGAAGUACCAUGAGUUGAUUUUGCCUUUGCUCCCCCUAACCUGCAGAGCAGCCCAGCCCAGCCACGCAGCGCCCUGCAGAGUGUCGAUGGCUUCCCCUGGGGAUUGUGCGGCUGCCCAGCAUUCAGAGGCAGGAUUCAGCUGCAUCUCGUCAGCCCACAAAAAGAUCCAAGUUUCAAAGUGCAAUCCCUUUUACGCCAUCAGAAUUGUGAAACAUGGCGAGUCGAACCUCGGUAGGCGGGGGUCCAUCCGUGUAUCUCAGAGCUUUCCCCCAGCCCCCCAACCUAGACCUGUUGGGGUAGGAGAAUAUUCUGUGUGGAGAAAGUGACCUCAUUUAGGCAAAUCUUUCUCAGUUUGGCAGGAUUUAGGAUCUUUUCAAUCAAUAUGCAGUGAUGGAAAAUUCUAGAAUGAACAAAACAACCUGGGGUGCAUCACUUCAUUUCAGUAGGACCUUUCAUUUUGGAAAGUUGUCAGUCCCAUCUGGGUGGCAUUAAGCCCUGCUCCCAAAGGACGUUCUCCACGGACCUUGACCUUGCCGUCUCUACCAUGGCCCACCAGCACUAAGCGUCUUUAGAUGUUCCAUAAUUAGGUGGUGGUGACGGCGGCUCCCCUCUGUAAAUACACUAAAAAUUGUUGAAUUAUAUAUUUAAAAC
rnacentral:lncRNA from 1 species